CACGCGCUCUGCUAGGAAGCGGGAGAGAAGGGGAAAGAUGCGGGAGCAGCCCUCCGGGGGGAGAGAAUCUGCGGUGGGCGCAGGCCGGGGGAGCGGGCCCGGCGGGCGGGAGGGGGCUCCUCUGGUCCCCAGGGACCGUCUCCCGUCUCUGCACGCCUGUCUCCCCGCGGUGACCCCGCGCUGGGAGGGAUGCUCGGGGAAGCCUCCAGAGGCCGGAGGGUGCAGCGGGGCUCACGCGGGACUCGGUGAGCAGGAGGGGACACCCGCAGCCCUCCUCCCGCCUCGUGGGCUGGGACACAGCGGAGGCCGACACCCCUCGGGUCUCGUGCCAGGUGAUUACCCAGCGCACCCCCGGCGAUUUCCUCUCCUCCCCCGGGCAGUGCCUGCGGCGCGUUCCCUGAUUCGGCCCGGGCUGCGCAGUCGGCGCCGGGCAACCUGCGGGGGCCGCGUCUUCGUGCGCAGGUGCCCGGGACCCUGCAAGGUCUCUCCAGGGAGGAGGUUCCUUGAGUUCUAGACUCUCAAGGUUGAAGGGAACUGAGAAGUCAUCUGGAUCUUACCAUCUUUGUGGAGAAAAGCGAGGAGGGAGAGAAGCCACGUCUGUCUGUACAUGGUUCAGGCCUGCCACCAUGCCAGGCUGUCAG
rnacentral:lncRNA from 12 species